UUAAGUGAACAAGGGCAUACGGCGGAUGCCUUGGCGCCAAGAGCCGAUGAAGGACGCGGUAAGCUGCGAAAAGGCAUGGGUAGGAGCAAGCAUCCAGUGAUCCAUGCAUAUCCGAAUGGGGCAACCCACCAUCAGUCAUGUGAUGGUACGAAAGAGGCAGACCUGGGGAACUGAAACAUCUAAGUACCCAGAGGAAAAGUAAUCAAUUGAGAUUCCCUAAGUAGCGGCGAGCGAAAGGGGAAGAGCCCAAACCAUGAAACUUCGGUUUUGUGGGGUUGAGGACCGGCAAAAAGAGGAAACUUCUUAGUCGAAUGGUUUGGAAAGGCCAUGCACAGAAGGUAAAACACCUGUAGGCGAAAAGAAGUCAAUCGGGCUGGUAUCCAGAGUACUGCGAGACACGUGAAACCUUGCAGGAAGCAGGGGGGACCACCCUCCAAGGCAAAAUACUACUUGGCGACCGAUAGCGCAUAGUACCGUGAGGGAAAGGUGAAAAGAACCCCGGGAGGGGAGUGAAAUAGAACCUGAAACCGUAUGUCUACAAGCAGUCGAAGCACCUUAAGAGUGCGACGGCGUGCCUAUUGAAGAAUGAACCGGCGAGUUACAUUAUGUUGCGAGGUUAAGUGGGAGACACGGAGCCGAAGCGAAAGCGAGUCUUAAUAGGGCGACUAGUAACAUGGUGUAGACCCGAAACCGCAGUGAUCUAUCCAUGGUCAGGUUGAAGCGCAGGUAAAAAUGCGUGGAGGACCGAACCCGUGAGUGUUGAAAAACUUUGGGAUGAACCGUGGAUAGGGGUGAAAUGCCAAUCGAACGCGGAGAUAGCUGGUACUCCCCGAAAUAGCUUUAGGGCUAGCCUCAGGGAAGAUUAUAGACGGUAGAGCACUGAUCUGGCAAGGGGGCGUAAAGCCUACCGACCCUAGUCAAACUUCGAAUGGCUAUAAUUAAGACCCUGGGAGUCAGACUGCGAGUGAUAAGACCCGUAGUCAAGAGGGAAACAGCCCAGACCGCCGACUAAGGUCCCCAAUGCUGUACUAAGUGGAAAAGGAUGUAAGACUUCAUAAACAACCAGGAUGUUGGCUUAGAAGCAGCCACCAUUAAAAGAGUGCGUAAUAGCUCACUGGUCGAGAGGCCUUGCGCCGAAGAUGUCCGGGGCUCAAGUACAGAACCGAAGUCGCGGCAGGAUUAUAUAAUUCUGGGUAGGGGAGCGUUGUAUAUCCGACUGAAGGUGUACCGGAAGGAGCGCUGGAGGAUAUACAAGAGAGAAUGCCGGUAUGAGUAGCGAAAAGAACAGUGAGAAUCUGUUCCACCGAAAGCCUAAGGUUUCCUGAGCAACGCUCGUCGACUCAGGGUAAGUCGGGACCUAAGCCGAGGCAAAAAGCAUAGGCGAUGGACAACAGGUUAAUAUUCCUGUACCGCUUCAAAUCGUUUGAGCAAUGGAGUGACACAGAAGGUAGCUUGAGCACGCGAAUGGAUGUGCGUGUCGAAGGUGGUAGGUUGCAGUAUAGGUAAAUCCGUACUGUAUAAGACCGAGAACUGAUAGAUAGACGAUACUUCGGUAAAGUCAAAUUCAAGUGAGCCAUGCUGUCGAGAAAAGCUUCUAGUGAGAGAUGAGGCGCCCGUACCGAAACCGACACAGGUAGGCGGGGAGAGAAUCCUAAGGUGCGCGGGACAACCCUCGUUAAGGAACUCGGCAAAUUGUAUCCGUAACUUAGGGAUAAGGAUAGCCGGAGGAUGUGAAGGGAUUUACUUCUGGAGCGUCAGCCGGUGGCACAAGAGAGGCCCAAGCGACUGUUUAGCACAAACACAGGUGCCUGCAAAAGAGAAAUCUGACGUAUAGGUGCUGACACCUGCCCGGUGCUGGAAGGUUAAGAGGAGGGCUUAGAGGAAACUCGAAGGCUUGAAUUGAAGCCCCAGUAAACGGCGGCCGUAACUAUAACGGUCCUAAGGUAGCGAAAUUCCUUGUCGGGUAAGUUCCG
rnacentral:rRNA from 1 species